rnacentral:rRNA from 1 species
CCUACGGGUGGCAGCAGUGAGGAAUAUUGGUCAAUGGACGCAAGUCUGAACCAGCCAUGCCGCGUGCAGGAAGACGGCUCUAUGAGUUGGAAACUGCUUUUGUACGAGGGUAAACGCAGAUACGCGUAUCUGUAUGAAAGUAUCGUACGAAUAAGGAUCGGCUAACUCCGUGCCAGAAGCCGCGGUAAUAAGGAGGAUUCAAGCGUUAUCCGGAUUUAUUGGGUUUAAAGGGUGCGUAGGCGGUCGGAUAAGUUAGAGGUGAAAUCCCGAGGCUCAACUUCGGAAUUGCCUCUGAUACUGUUCGGCUAGAGAGUAGUUGCGGUAGGCGGAAUGUAUGGUGUAGCGGUGAAAUGCUUAGAGAUCAUACAGAACACCGAUUGCGAAGGCAGCUUACCAAGCUACUUCUGACGUUGAGGCACGAAAGCGUGGGGAGCAAACAGGAUUAGAUACCCUUGUAGUC